UACGGGGGGAGCAAGCGUUGUUCGGAUUUACUGGGCGUAAAGGGCGCGUAGGCGGUCGUGACAAGUCACUUGUGAAAUCUCCGGGCUUAACUCGGAAAGGUCAAGUGAUACUGUCGGACUAGAGUACAGAAGGGGCAACUGGAAUUCUCGGUGUAGCGGUGAAAUGCGCAGAUAUCAGGAGGAACACCGGUGGCGAAGGCGGGUCUCUGGGCCGAUACUGACGCUGAGGAGCGAAAGCGUGGGGAGCGAACAGG
rnacentral:rRNA from 1 species